GACGAACGCUGGCGGCGUGCCUAAUACAUGCAAGUCGAACGCACAGUUUAUACCGUAGCUUGCUUCACCAUACACUGUGAGUUGCGAACGGGUGAGUAACGCGUAGGUAACCUGCCUGGUAGCGGGGGAUAACUAUUGGAAACGAUAGCUAAUACCGCAUAAUAUUGAUUAUUGCAUGAUAAUUGAUUGAAAGAUGCUAUUUCAUCACUACCAGAUGGCCCUGCGUUGUAUUAGCUAGUAGGUGAGGUAACGGCUCACCUAGGCGACGAUACAUAGCCGACCCGAGAGGGGUAACGGCCACACUGGGAAUGGGACACGGCCCAGACUCCUAAGGGAAGCAGCAGGAGGGAAUCUUCGGCAAGGGACGAAAGUCUGAACGAGGAACGCCGCGGGAGGGAAGAAGGGUCUCGGAUCGGAAAGAUCCGGUGUAAGAGAAGAAAGGGAGUGAGAGUGGAAAGUUCACACUGUGACGGUAGCUGACCAGAAAGGGACGGCUAACUACGUG
rnacentral:rRNA from 1 species